rnacentral:rRNA from 1 species
UACAGAGGUCCCAAGCGUUGUUCGGAUUCACUGGGCGUAAAGGGUGCGUAGGCGGUCGGGUCAGUCUGAUGUGAAAUCUCACAGCUUAACUGUGAAACUGCAUUGGAUACUAUCCGGCUAGAGGAAUGGAGGGGAGACUGGAAUACUUGGUGUAGCAGUGAAAUGCGUAGAUAUCAAGUGGAACACCAGUGGCGAAGGCGAGUCUCUGGACAUUUCCUGACGCUGAGGCACGAAAGCCAGGGGAGCAAACGGG